rnacentral:rRNA from 1 species
AGACGUCUACAUUAGAUACCCGUGUAGUCCCAGCCGUAAACUAUGCGCGUUAGGUGUAUCAGUGACCACGAGUUACCGAGGUGCCGAAGGGAAACCGUGAAACGUGCCGCCUGGGAAGUACGGUCGCAAGGCUGAAACUUAAAGGAAUUGGCGGGGAGCACCACAACAGGUGGAGCCUGCGGUUUAAUUGGACUCAACGCCGGGAAGCUCACCGGAUAAGACAGCAGAAUGAUUGCCGGGCUGAAGACUCUGCAUGACUAGCUG